UAAGAUGAGAGUUUGAUCCUGGCUCAGGACGAACGCUGGCGGCGUGCCUAAUACAUGCAAGUCGAACGAGUCCUCCCAAUUUGAUUUUAUGCUUGCAUAAAUGAUUUUUGGAUUCGGGACGAGUGGCGAACUGGUGAGUAACACGUGGGUAACCUGCCCUGAAGUAGGGGAUAACAUUUGGAAACAGAUGCUAAUACCGUAUAAUUAGUUGGAACCACAUGGUUCCAACUUGAAAGAUGGCUCUGCUAUCACUUUAGGAUGGACCCGCGGCGUAUUAGCUAGUUGGUGAGAUAAAAGCUYACCAAGGCGAUGAUACGUAGCCGACCUGAGAGGGUAAUCGGCCACAUUGGGACUGAGACACGGCCCAGACUCCUACGGGAGGCAGCAGUAGGGAAUCUUCCACAAUGGACGAAAGUCUGAUGGAGCAACGCCGCGUGAGUGAAGAAGGGUUUCGGCUCGUAAAACUCUGUUGUUAAAGAAGAACAAGUGUAAGAGUAACUGUUUACGCUUUGACGGUAUUUAACCAGAAAGCCACGGCUAACUACGUGCCAGCAGCCGCGGUAAUACGUAGGUGGCAAGCGUUGUCCGGAUUUAUUGGG
rnacentral:rRNA from 1 species